GACGUAGGGCGCAAGCGUUGUCCGGAUUUAUUGGUCGUAAAGAGCUCGUAGGCGGCUUGUUGCGUCGUCCGUGAAAACCCGCAGCUCAACUGCGGGCUUGCGGACGAUACGGGCAGGCUGGAGUUCGGUAGGGGAGACUGGAAUUCCUGGUGUAGCAGUGAAAUGCGUAGAUAUCAGGAGGAACACCGAUGGCGAAGGCAGGUCUCUGGGCUGACACUGACGCUCAUGCACGAAAGCGUGGGGAGCAAACAGG
rnacentral:rRNA from 1 species